AGGCGUCUGCCUUGUUCGAGCAAGUACAGUUCUUUUAAAUCCGAACACUAUAUAAUUCGGGAAUCUUGCUCUGCAUGCGGGAUGCAGACCUCCCGGCCCCGCCGAUUUAUCCGCGGGACCACCGGACGAAGGGAGCGCGAUGUAUACAGGCGGAUACCCACCUGCUGAGAAGCGGGUUUAUUCUGCUGUACGACGGCAAGGUGGAGUUUUU
rnacentral:other from 1 species